rnacentral:rRNA from 1 species
CUGAGAGGGCGACCGGCCACACUGGAUCUGAGACACGGUCCAGACUCCUACGGGAGGCAGCAGUGGGGAAUAUUGCACAAUGGGCGCAAGCCUGAUGCAUCGACUCCGCGUGGGGGAUGAAUGCCUUCGGGUUGUAAACCCCUUUCAGCAUGGAAGAAGCGAAAGUGACGGUACCUGCAGAAGAAUCGCCGGCUAACUACGUGCCAGCAGCCGCGGUAAUACGUAGGGCGCAAGCGUUGUCCGGAAUUAUUGGGCGUAAAGAGCUCGUAGGCGGUUCGUCGCGUCUGCUGUGAAAGCCCGAGGCUCAACCUCGGGUCUGCAGUGGGUACGGGCGGACUAGAAUGUGGUAGGGGAGACUGGAAUUCCUGGUGUAGCGGUGGAAUGCGCAUAUAUCAGGAGGAACACCUAUGGCGAAGGCAGGUCUCUGGGCCACAACUGACGCUGAGGAGCGAA